rnacentral:rRNA from 1 species
GCAUGCCUACAACAUAGCGUUAAUGCACUGGAUCCCAUUAGAAUUUUGCAAUUAAGUGCGCUCAAGCUAGAGUAGUACUGGGAUGGGUGAUCAUCUGGGAAGUACUAGUGUUUUACAUGCC